rnacentral:lncRNA from 1 species
UUCAUUAAAUCGAUUCUCUUCAUUAGAAUCAACACUAACACAAAAGAAACAAGAAAACUAAGAAGAAGAAAUAGCACCAAGCUUAUCCCUGGCUCAGUACUAUCGCAGUCUGACCCUCGGCUUACAACUCUCACAGUUUAGCCCUCGGCUCACAACUCUCAUAGUCUGGCAUUUUCUUCCCCUCUCCCAUCCUCAUUAUACUACCCCGAGAUACCAACUCCUAUACUACAGAUGAUAACUACUUUUCCUGACUAUUCAUCCAUUCUACCUGCUGAACCACCUUUUCAACAAUUAUCUAUCCCUGUUUACACUAUACACUAGGUAUCUACAUUUUGAAAAUAACUACUUAUUCUACAUAGCCCCACUCCUAACUGUGCAGCGUCCUCGCAAACACUCAAUUGAUACCUAUCUAAAAAUUAUCUAACAAAACUCUACAAAAAUUGCGAUCCCUCUGGCCUAUCUAAUUAAUCAAUUGCCGCAGUAUCUAUUAUUGGUUCUACCGAUUCCGGUUCCAACUACAAAUCUUCGUCCUCCUCCAAUCCUUCCAUUGGCUCUUGCCUCAACUGAGCUGAAAGGUCUUCAUUGUACUUGCCUAGUUCACGGACUUGAGCUUCCAAUUUCAGGAUCUGGGCAUCUCUGAAUUCCAAUUGGCGCUGAAAGUGACUCCUCUCUUCUGGAACUUCGGGAACUGGCAACGUCGAUACUUGUACUUGACCAAUAUUGACUAAAUCCUCUACUAAUCUUGUCACCUCGGCAUUCAAGACCUCAAUUUCAGCCCUUAACCGCUCCGUUUCACAUCUGUGUUAGUCACUCAAUACCAAUUUCUCUUGCGCCAAUAACUCGGUCUUUUCUUGUUCCAUUACCAACUGACCCUUCGCUUUUUUCAAUUUCAAAAUUGAAUGACUGUGAGCUCGGAAUAGUUCUUGCCUGUGGGUCUCCACCAUGCAUUCUCUUUCUUGUGACUGGCUCCUCACUGUUAACUCUUAACUGGAACUACUACUCUCGAAAACACAAGAAAUACAAGAAAAUGGCACUCCAGCCAACCCAAAACAACACCACAGAAUGACUUUAACUGGUGCACCACUCCUAUUCUUUUACUACCUGGUGAUAAUACCAAUAUGUUACCCAUAUUGUCCAUGAAAGAUAAUGAGAAGUAAUCUUUUUUGGUGGCCACAUUAAGUUUCUAAAAAUCCUGACAAUUUCCAUUCUUUUUCGGUACCAUCACGAUUGGCGACACCCAUGCACUAUGCGGAACAUGAUAAAUAAAAUCCAUGUCAAGAAGUUUGUCUAAUUCCUCUUUCACUAAAAGAGAAUAUUUUGGAUUAAGCUGAUGUUGCCUCUAUCGUACCGGUUUAGCAUUCUCCUCUAAAAUGAUACGAUGCUCACAGACUUCAACGGGAAUACCUUUUAAAUCAUCAUAAGUCCAAGUAAAAGCGGAUUUAUGAUGCAAGAAAAAUUUGGUCCAGCAGGUCAACUCUUGUUUCUUAAUACCUUCGUAGACCUUAAUUGUCCCAGGUUUUGCUGUGGUCGCCAAGUUGAUAGUUUGACAUAAAGGUGCAACGGUGAUGUUCUGUUUCAAUCCCCGCGCUGGUUUAAAGUCAGUCGGUAAGUUUGACAUGUAUGAAGUACUGAAUCUUGUGUCCAGGGCACUAACAUGGUGCACAUCAUACUUGAUCAUCCAAUCAGUACUAACAUAAUCCGAGUUUUUCGAGUCCGUCGGGUAUAUCAAGUAGUCCCCCGGACCUCCACAUUGGUACACCACUCCAGGAUAUAGUGCUGCCUCCACGAGCACCUCCGUAAUUGGUGCUACUGCAUCGUCAUCGGAGCUAAGCUCAUUGUCCGACGUUAAUUCAGAUGCUGGCAAUUGAGACUCCCCGUGAUAGUGUACUGGGUACAUUUAUAACACCAUUUUGUCUCUGCCCUUGCCAAUUGUCAAAGUACCCCGACACCAAUCGUUUUUGGCCUUUGCUUGAUAAAGCCAAGGUUUGCCCAAUAAAAUGGGAUACGAUAAAGUCGAAUGUUGUAACCAAAAGAUGAUAUAGUCGAUUUCAUAUGCAAUACCGACAAUCAUAGUUUGAACACUCCAUAAGAUACCCAUUGGUUUAACCCGGCUAUGAUCUGCCAUUCGUAAUACCAAUGUUGUGGGUACUAAGUGUUUCAAAUCUAAAGCAUCCAUUGUAUCAACGUUCAUUAAAUUGAUGCUGGAACCACCAUCCACCUAAACACCCAAGAUCAUAACACUGUCAAUCAAAACAUCGAUGGUUGGUGCACUUGGAUCAAGGUUCAAACUGACUUCACAAACUUCUCUAUUACGGUGCCUAUGCUGUAUUAACGAUGAAUUCAAUGUAGAACGGCACUCUGGUGCGAUCGCUAGAAGUUGCUUCAUAGAAAUAGAAGGCCGAAUAGCAUCUAGAUCCUUCAAAAUAUCAUAGGGUUUCAUAUUUAGGAUAAUUUCCAAUGCCCUUUUUCUUUUCAUUGGUUUGAGUUUAACUCCGUGAGGUAAGAUAUUCUUCCGCUCUAGACUCGGAAUUGGAAUAACAAUCGGGGCUUCCUUGGAAAUCCUGCCCCUAAGAGGAUCUUUCAACGGAUAGGACGUUUUUUGGAACUGCAUAGAGAUUAGAACUGCUUGGAACGGAACUGAAGCCUUCGUAAUUGAGACCUCAUUGAGUUGUGCCACCGAAUCAGGUCUCAUAUUAGGUACGAAGCCCGUAACAAGACCUGGAUUGAUUGGUCCCGGCCAAUUAGUAUGUGGAAUCAAAUUAGGUUCCUCAGUCUGUUGAGGUUUCAAUAUUGGGAUACGUCCCAAUACUGAUAUUGGUUUAUUUAGCCUCGUGGACGGCGCUACUUGCUCUCAUGCGAUUGGUUCAUCCAUGUCUUGAAUUGAAUUCUUAUCUUUUUGUUGGCCUCUGGUAAGCACUACGUUCACCACCUUGACAUGAUGUAGUAGUGCGUCUCGUUAAACAGGGCCUUUGUCCUCCGCCGAUUGGCUUGUUUAUAUUUGCUGGUCCCGAUUAUUAUAAUUAAAAGGUGCAUUGCAGUGCUGAUAAGUGUGACCAGAUUGCUUAUAAUUUCUACAUAUUGGAGCAUAGUCAUCACUGGCCCUUGGAUUAGAACAUUCACUCGCAUAAUGUCUGAUUUGUCUGCAACUAUAGCAAUGAAGUGGUCUCCUGCCAACCCCUUCAGGAAUAAUGGGCAUCUCUACUGAUAUAUAACGGCUAGGUCUGUUCCAUGUCAGAUGAGUAAAGGAUCCUGGUUGACCCAUUGUUAUUGUAGAGCCUGGCAUUGGCUUCGUCAUGGGUGGAUAUUGAUGGUAUCUUGGUUGGUUCAUCGCCAAUCUGUGAGUAUUGGAUACACCUUCUUGGUAAAAUUUAGAGUUGAGGAAAUUAAAAUAAUUCCUGUUUUAUUUAUUCGCUCGAUUUCCAUUUCAACCAAACCUAUUAUUCAUCUGUACUUGAUUGACAUCCCACGAAGUUUGUUGAGUCAUUAUUUGGUUACUGAAUUGUUGUUGCUUCCAUAAAUUCCAACAGUUGGUGGUAAUAUACUUGCCCCCGCAAAAGGUACAUUGUAUAGUCAUUUGGGGUGGUGAAGGACAUUCUGUUACUAAAUGACCUUGCCCCUUACAAUUUCUGCAUCAGACAUUGGGACGCAUAUUGGUUGGUUUAUGUUUAUGUUUAUGUUUUUUUUUUUUUUUUUUUUUUUUUUUUUUUUUUUUUUUUUUUUUUUUUUUUUUUUAAUCCUUGGCCAGAUUCACAGUCAAUUCAUUCAUUUUUUUUUGUCAAUAUUAACAGUAAUGACUCAUUGGGAUCCCUUAAUACUAAUGCAUUUGGCAAUUCUUUUGUAGGUAUUGGUUUCUGAUACACGAAAUAAGGCGCAUACGGAUGUGAUGAUAAUGGUGGUACAGCUUGCAAUGGAAUGGCAUUUACUAUUCCCUGUGAAAUUGUACCGUAAUCAUUCCUUUCCAGAUAAUUUCCCGAUGCAUCAUUCUAAUUUGUCAUUUGAUAACCUCCUUGAGAUGGAAUCAUCGUGGCUCCAACUGUUAAGUUCUGGUCAUAGUGACAUUCCUCCCAUACUUUUGCUCACUCAAGAGAUGAUGCAAUGGUGGCUGAUUGGGCCUCCUUUACAAACAUUUUCAAUUCUGGUGGAUGUAGUCCAUUAACCAAUAUGGACAACACAAAUGAUUCCGACAUUUGGUUAUUGGGCCAUUUUUGAAGUAUAUCCGCUACACGACCAUAAUAUGACUGUACCGCUUCCCCUGGUACCAUUCUGUUGUUCAUUAAUUUUUUUCUAAGACGUUCUUCAAAACCAAUUGGUCGAAAAUGGGCUAAAAAUACAUUUUUGAAUGCCUCCCAAUUGAUAAAUCGUCCCACAGAUUGGCGGUUAUACCACUGAAACGCUGUGUCUUUCAAUGUCAUUGGCAGCCAUCUCAGCCAAAUGUCUUCUGUUCUUCCAUUAUUGGCUACACACGUCGUCAAGAAUUGAGACAAAUAUUGAUCUGGAUCCACUUGGCAAACCCCGAAAAGUAGGUAAUGGUGCGAUGCUAGUCGUUCGAUCAUCCACUGCACCCAUUUGAACUGCAAUUGGAACUACUGGUCCUCUGGACGUCAUUAAAGAUGCCGGUGUUCUGCUCAAUUUUUUAUUAAAAUAAAAACUGUCUACUGCAAAAGUCUUUAUCGGACUUCCAGGCCUUUCCGAUUGACUAUUAUUAUCUCCAAAUAAUUUUACUGGUUGAAUAUGAGGUGAAAACGACAGAUUUUGAUAUACUCUGAAUUGGUCUUUAUUGGCAAGUGAUUUAUGCCGAUCUUCAGAACCAAUCUUGUUAGGAUCGGACAUAUUUUCAAUUGAGAAGAUACCCAAUGGGGUACUUAAUUCCUCUAUGCCUUCCUCGUUUUUUGUUAACGGCUUCGAGAGGUUUGUUGGACUAUUAAUAGCGCUCCCUGCCAGUGCUCUUGGCAAUUUCUUUAACGGUAUGUAUUUUUGAAAUAUUAGAGGUCGAUCGUCUUUUGGGUACGAUCGAAUAUGCUGACAGGCAUGCAACCAUGGCUUAAUCCAACUUUGUCGAUGCUUCUUUAUCAAUUUGUGAUCUCGCUCAUUACGCAACAAAUUUCUUGCUUACGAUCGCUGUCGUAUUACGUGCUUUCCUGCUCGAGAACGCGCCGGGCGUCUGGCUGUAGAAGGUAGUAUGGAGAUUCGCCGAUAGUCAAGCAGUCUAUCAGUUUUUGACUGCUGAAAUAUAAACGACUGCAACAAUGUACCGUAAAACUAUACGGGUGCUCUUCGACUGCUUGUCGAAGUCCUUUUUGCCCCAGCCGGUAGGUCUCUAGACGUUACAGAGAACCCCGUACAACCCAAACUGUUAACCUUCAAUACUGCUUUGUACUUACGAUCUUGUAUCCACUGACUGUCUUGUUAGAUUAACCCAAUAAAUUUCAUUCACUCCGCAUACUCAAUCCUAUAGACACCCUUUUAAUCCUUCAAUCAGAGACGUAACUCGAUUUCACAAAACAGUCAAGAGUAUUCAAACCCACUUCAUUUAAAAAUCCCGAUUCACCAUUACAACACUGACUUCAGCAGCGAUUGCCUCAGUCUUCCCCAAAACUCUACGAAGAAGAAAAAUCCAAAUUCUAUGUCUUUCCUUCCCCGACCCGAAGCAUGAAGCUCCUCCCUCUAAUUCCCUUGAUCUUCAAAAACCUCCAAUAAAAAAAACCGAACUGGUAACCUUGCAGAAGCUUGAAAAAUCCUUCCCCUCCCCUGAUUCCUCCUCAAAAAAAAACCACCCCCAAAACUAUAUCCCACCUAAUCUUAUCCUCUGAAUUUCUUCAAUCUUCAGUCUUAGAUCCGGAAUUGGCUCCCACCUCAAGCUUGGAUCCGAAAUUGGCUCUUGCCGUCAAGCUUUCUCCUCCGUUUUUGCCUUUAAGAAAUCCUUUACCGAAAACAACGUUCCCUGAGACGGCACAGAGAACAGGACAGCCUGAAACAGAAUCGAACCCCGUAAUCGGGACCACAUUGAGUCGCCCGACCAAUUCAGGCCCUAUAUUGGGAAAGAUGCCCGUAGUAACCUGGAUGUUCCCGUAAUUGGGUCAAAUUGGUCCUCGCGUCAGAUUGGCUAAGACCCGUAGUAAGACCUGGAUUUCCCGUAAUUAGACUGCACUGGGUUGACCGGCCAAUUCAGGUCUCAUAUUGGAUAAGAGGACCCGGAUUGGAUUAUCGAAAUUGGAUCCAAUUGGCUCCUCGAACCCGUCUUGUGAAUUGGUCCUUCUCUUCCUGCUGACUCCCGUUAUUGGAAUCGAAUGGAGCAUUUCAGUAUGCCCCGGCUGACUGUAACGGAGUGACUGAACCUGACCACUCAGUAUUUGUACUGGAGUUGGUCGAUGCUCCCAAUAUUCGAGGUAACUGAAUAUUAAUAAAAUUCCCCUUUCUUUUUAUUUUCACUGUAUAAUCGUGUUACAACACGACAUCGCUCUGUUCUUUCCUUUGAUUACUUUAUUCUCUUUGUUGUUAAAUCCUCAUUCUUAAUAAUCAUACUCUUUCAUUAUUUCUGUAGAGUUUUCUUCUUAAUCUCUUUUAUUGCUUCGACAGUUAAUUCCUAUCACUCAAUAAUAUUGUCAAUCCCCGAUAGUGGCACCAAAAUGUGAUUGCUUGUUUUACUUAUUCCGAAAGAAACCUCCCAGUAUAAACUUGUAUAGGGGGAUUCGAACUUGGGGAAUGACCAUGUAUAUGAGCUCCAAUUGUUAGGGUCACACAAUUAACCGCUACUGCUGAAUGCUUACCAUACCAAAGAACACUUAACUUUUCCUCCUAUUGUCCACUCUUUCAUAUCAAUACAAUAACAUCCAUGACAACGAUUUCAGUACCCUAUGUAAUUCAUGAACACACAAGCAUAUCUCAAACCCUGGAAUGAACAACUUCCAAUCCACAGAAUCUAAUCAAGACAAUUCCUUCGAUUACAAUUCCUCUCUACUAAACUUACAACCUUGCGAUAAACAGUGACUAGAAACUUCCAUACAUCCUCAAUCUUUCACAACAAUUGUUAAACAGUUAUCCAUAAACAACUUCAUAAAUAAAACAUUAAUUCAUUAAAUCAAUUCUCUUCACUAGAAUCAACACUAACACAAAAGAAACAAGAAAACUAAGAAGAAGAGAUAGCACCAAGCUUAUCCCUGGCUCAGUACUAUCGUAGUCUGACCUUCGGCUUAUAACUCUCACAGUCUGGCCCUCGGCUCACAACUCCCACAGUCUGGCAUUUUCUUCCCCUCUCCCAUCCUCCUUAUACUACCCCAAGAUACCAAUUCCUAUAUUAUAGAUGAUAACUACUUUUCCUCACUAUUCAUCCAUUCUACCUGCUGAACCACCUUUUCAACAAUUAUCUAUCCCUGUU